rfam:Ovis aries breed Texel chromosome 5, whole genome shotgun sequence.
UCCCUGGUGGCUCAGAUGGUAAAGCAUCUGCCUGCAAUGCAGGAGACCCAGGUUCGAUCCCUGGGUUGGGAA